rnacentral:lncRNA from 1 species
UGUAUUUUAGUUUAUUUUUUCUGUGCCUCGUGCAAGCUUUUGUACACUUGUAGCAUGUUUGUUGGUGUGUAAGACGAGGCAUUUCAUGAUCUGCUCUUUCUAUUUAAAUCUCCCUCAGCCCAAUAGGAUAGAUGGCGUCAGUUAUGCCUUUUUGUUUGGUGUUUUCCAUCCAUUUUUCAUUGUUAGGUUUUGUAUUUUAACGUAAAUUAAAAAGAUCUGCUAUAGAAGAAAAAGGAGCAAGGCCCCAUGUGACAUGAGAAAUGCUAUUGGUGGAUAGGAUCAAAGACUGACCGUAGAUGGAUCCUGCAUAGAUGAAUUAAAUUUUUGCUCCCAUCAUCAAGCUUGGAUGAGACUCUGAGCUCAUCAUAUUGGUUUUUCACUCAGUUUGGUAGAUAUAGGCAAUUUUAUGUGCAAUAGGACUAGGAAUGGC